rnacentral:rRNA from 1 species
AUUGAACGCUGGCGGCGUGCUUUACACAUGCAAGUCGAACGGCAGCGGGGGCUUCGGCCUGCCGGCGAGUGGCGAACGGGKGAGUAAWACRUCGGAACGUGUCCUUGAGUGGGGAAUAACGCAUCKAAAGAUGUGCUAAUACCGCAUAUUUCUYASGAAGAAGGCAGGGGAUCGAAAGACCUUGCGCUAAAKGAGCGGCCGAUGUCUGAUUAGCUAGUUGGUGAGGUAAAGGCUUACCAAGGCAACGAUCAGUAKCUGGUCUGAGAGGACRAUCASCCACACUGGGACUGARACACGGCCCA